GACGAACGCUGGCGGCGUGCUUAACACAUGCAAGUCGAGCGGUAAGGCCCUUUCGGGGGUACGACGAGCGGCGAACGGGUGAGUAACACGUGGGUGACCUGCCCUCAGCUCUGGGAUAAGCCUGGGAAACCGGGUCUAAUACUGGAUAUGACUCCAUGACGCAUGUUGUGGGGUGGAAAGCCUUGUGCGGCUGAGGAUGGGCCCGCGGCCUAUCAGCUUGUUGGUGGGGUGANGGCCUACCAAGGCGACGACGGGUAGCCGGCCUGAGAGGGCGACCGGCCACACUGGGACUGAGACACGGCCCAGACUCCUACGGGAGGCAGCAGUGGGGAAUCUUGCGCAAUGGGCGAAAGCCUGACGCAGCGACGCCGCGUGAGGGUGACGGCCU
rnacentral:rRNA from 1 species